GAAAAACAUCGCUAACAAUGUUGGCAGCCAUCUUUGGAGACCACUUGCCAUAACUGCAUGGAAUGCCAACCCCCAAAGGAUGCUUUUGUGAGGAAAAAAGUGAGCAGGUGGUGACGGUAAAAGAUACAGAGAUUCCUCCCUGGAGAGCAAUAGAAAUCAGGAGGCAGUGGUCUUGAUGAAAACCAGCAGAAGUGAAUAGGGACCCAUGUACUAGUUGAAUCCAUGUAUUCCCAACAUGGUGCGACGUGUAUGUGGUAGCAGUGGACCCAAACACCACAGAAAACUUGGGGCAGCCACACAAUGGUGUUAUUUCAGUCUAUAACAAUGUUCCAUAACCACCUUUUUUUUACUUAAUAUGUCAUACAUUUUCCAUGUUAUUAAAUGUCUAUGUGUGAUUUAAAUCAUUUAUAUUAUGUUAAAUAAAGCAUAUAGAUUCU
rnacentral:lncRNA from 1 species